GAGCGUGAUGAUAUGGUAAAUGUCGCCCCAGUCUUACUUUCCGCUCGCUAUUCCGAUCGGAAAAUGGUGAUUGACAUCUCUGUCUGAUUC